GGGUGGAUUAGUGGCGAACGGGUGAGUAACACGUGGGCAAUCUGCCCUUCACUCCGGGACAAGCCUUGGAAACGAGGUCUAAUACCGGAUAACACUCUGUCCCGCAUGGGACGGGGUUAAAAGCUCCGGCGGUGAAGGAUGAGCCCGCGGCCUAUCAGCUUGUUGGUGGGGUAAUGGCCUACCAAGGCGACGACGGGUAGCCGGCCUGAGAGGGCGACCGGCCACACUGGGACUGAGACACGGCCCAGACUCCUACGGGAGGCAGCAGUGGGGAAUAUUGCACAAUGGGCGAAAGCCUGAUGCAGCGACGCCGCGUGAGGGAUGACGGCCUUCGGGUUGUAAACCUCUUUCAGCAGGGAAGAAGCGCAAGUGACGGUACCUGCAGAAGAAGCACCGGCUAACUACGUGCCAGCAGCCGCGGUAAUACGUAGGGUGCGAGCGUUGUCCGGAAUUAUUGGGCGUAAAGAGCUCGUAGGCGGNUUGUCACGUCGGAUGUGAAAGCCCGGGGCUUAACCCCGGGUCUGCAUUCGAUACGGGCUAGCUAGAGUGUGGUAGGGGAGAUCGGAAUUCCUGGUGUAGCGGUGAAAUGCGCAGAUAUCAGGAGGAACACCGGUGGCGAAGGCGGAUCUCUGGGCCAUUACUGACGCUGAGGAGCGAAAGCGUGGGGAGCGAACAGGAUUAGAUACCCUGGUAGUCCACGCCGUAAACGUUGGGAACUAGGUGUU
rnacentral:rRNA from 1 species